rnacentral:rRNA from 1 species
GAUGAACGCUAGCGGCAGGCUUAACACAUGCAAGUCGAGGGGCAGCGCGGGAUAGCAAUAUCCUGGCGGCGACCGGCGGAAGGGUGCGUAACGCGUGAGCGACAUGCCCGUUGCCCGGGGACAACCGGUGGAAACGCCGACUAAUCCCCGAUGGGAUAUUGUGCCGCAUGGCACGAUAUUGAAAGUUACGGCGGCGACGGAUUGGCUCGCGUCCGAUUAGCUUGUUGGCGGGGUAACGGCCCACCAAGGCUGCGAUCGGUAGGGGUUCUGAGAGGAAGGCCCCCCACGAUGGGACUGAGACACGGCCCAUACUCCUACGGGAGGCAGCAGUGAGGAAUAUUGGUCAAUGGGCGGAAGCCUGAACCAGCCAUGCCGCGUGCGGGAAGGAGGCCCUAUGGGCUGUGAACCGCUUUUGCCUGGGGGAAAUAAGGGCGUCGCGCACGUCCGAUGAGAGUACCAGGCGAAUAAGCAUCGGCUAACUCCGUG